rnacentral:rRNA from 1 species
ACCUCAAAUUAGGUAGGAGUACCCGCUGAACUUAAGCAUAUCAAUAAGCGGAGGAAAAGAAACUAACAAGGAUUCCCUUAGUAACGGCGAGUGAAGUGGGAAUGGCUCAAAUUUAAAAUCUGACCGGUUUCUGGUCCGAAUUGUAAUCUAAAGAAGCGUUUUCCGCGUUCAGCUCGAGUAUAGGUCCCUUGGAAUAGGGCAUCAGAGAGGGUGAGAAUCCCGUCUGUGACACGAGUUUGGAGGUGAUAUGAUACGCUUUCGACGAGUCGAGUUGUUUGGGAUUGCAGCUCAAAAUGGGUGGUAAAUUCCAUCUAAGGCUAAAUAAUGGCAAGAGACCGAUAGCGAACAAGUACCGUGAGGGAAAGAUGAAAAGAACUUUGAAAAGAGAGUUAAACAGUACGUGAAAUUGUUGAAAGGAAAACGAUUGAAGCCAGUCGUGCUGGCGGGAAAUCAGCUUCCGGGAUUACUGGAGGUGCACUUUCUCGCAAGGCAGGUUAGCAUCAAUUUCGCACGUUGUAAAAAGUCUGUUGAAAUGUGACUCCUUUCGAAGUGUUAUAGCCAGCGGACAAUGCGACGCGUGGGAUUGAGGAUUGCAGUGGGUGCCUUUUAGGCUAAGUGCCUGGCCCUUGUUCGUGAUCUUCUUGGCAAUAACGUGCUGGUGUUGAGAAUGAUUCGUGGACACGGGGUGGAGUGUCACGGUAAACUCGCUAAACUCGCUAAGGAUGCUGACGUAAUGGCUUUAAACGACCCGUCUUGAAACACGGACCAAGGAGUCUAACAUACGUGCGAGUGUUUGGGCGGAAAACCCAUUCGCGUAAUGAAAGUGAAUAUAGGUGGGAGUCCUCUGCGCGAGGAACGCACCAUCGACCGAUCUGGAUAUUCUUUGAUAGAUUUGAGUAAGAGC